UACGUAGGGUGCGAGCGUUGUCCGGAAUUACUGGGCGUAAAGGGCUCGUAGGCGGCCAACUAAGUCAGACGUGAAAUCCCUCGGCUUAACCGGGGAACUGCGUCUGAUACUGGAUGGCUUGAGUGUGGGAGAGGGAUGCGGAAUUCCAGGUGUAGCGGUGAAAUGCGUAGAUAUCUGGAGGAACACCGGUGGCGAAGGCGGCAUCCUGGACCACGACUGACGCUGAGUGAGCGAAAGCCAGGGGAGCAAACGGG
rnacentral:rRNA from 1 species